GGAUUGGGUCACCCGCCCUGUGCUCACGGCUUGAACUCCCAGAGCUGCGCUGUUGGGGGCGAAGCGCUGGACGAACGUUCGCCUGAGGAGUUCAGUGCUGAUGCUGCUCUUUUCCUUCCCAGCGGCAGAGUUCGGGGAGCCCACUUCCGAGCAGACAGGGACAGCUGCUGGGAAAACUGUUGCUCAAACCGCAGCCUCGGUGUCCUGGAAGCCCCAGGAUUCUUCGGAACAGUUACAGGAGAAGCUCUGCAAGAAUCCAUGUGCGAUGUUUGCUGCUGGAGAGAUCAAAACGUCGACAGGGGAGGGCCUUCUUGACUCACCCAGCAAAACCAUGUCUAUUAAAGAAAGGUUGGCACUGUUGAAGAAAAGCGGGGAGGAAGAUUGGAGAAACAGACUCAGCAGGAGGCAGGAGGGCGGCAAGGCGCUUGCCAGCAGCCUGCACACCCAGGAAACAGGGUGGUCCCUCAUCAAGAAGGAAGAAGGAGGAGUUGCGGAUGAUAUUGCCGUUUCUAAUCUGCUUUGGGAACCUGUAUAUGCUUCUACUUAUUCUCCUGCUAUUCCUGCUGCCCAUAAAUACCUGUCUUUUGUGUUG
rnacentral:lncRNA from 1 species